rnacentral:rRNA from 1 species
CCUACGGGUGGCAGCAGUGAGGAAUAUUGGUCAAUGGACGAGAGUCUGAACCAGCCAAGUAGCGUGAAGGAUGACUGCCCUAUGGGUUGUAAACUUCUUUUAUAUGGGAAUAAAAUGUUCCACGUGUGGGAUUUUGUAUGUACCAUAUGAAUAAGGAUCGGCUAACUCCGUGCCAGCAGCCGCGGUAAUACGGAGGAUCCGAGCGUUAUCCGGAUUUAUUGGGUUUAAAGGGAGCGUAGGUGGAUUGUUAAGUCAGUUGUGAAAGUUUGCGGCUCAACCGUAAAAUUGCAGUUGAAACUGGCAGUCUUGAGUACCGGAGAGGUCAUCGGAAUUCCUUGUGUAGCGGUGAAAUGCGUAGAUAUAAGGAAGAACACCAGUGGCGAAGGCGGAUGACUGGACGGCAACUGACGGUGAGGCGCGAAAGCGUGGGGAGCAAACAGGAUUAGAUACCCGUGUAGUC